rfam:Schistosoma mansoni, Puerto Rico, WGS project CABG01000000 data, contig: 0010
AGCCUUCUGAAUCGGUGCUGAGAUUUUGUCAGACACCAGACCAUCAGGAAUGAUGGGACUCCAAAGAUAAGUGAAAUG